GCAUGCGCGGCGAGGCUGACGCGGUCCAGCCGCCGGGCCCAGCGUGAGGCAGUUCCAGAGGUUCUGACUGAAUUUGCCUGUCUUGAGGGGUAUUAAUUGAGAUGAUAGUUUCGACCUGCUUUCUCCACAUGAAUUAUCAAUAACUUUCAAGAGCCAGGUGAGAAGAGGUCAGUUCAUAUCACUUGGAGACAUGCCAGAUUUCCCCAAGUCUCCUGAUAUUUGUUCCUGGUUUGCUCCUCCACUGGAGUGAUCAACAGCCUGAGCAGAAUGUGCCUUUUAAGAUCAUGCUGUUUUAUAAUUAUGUGGAAGCAUGCUACACCAGGAGAAAAAAAUCUCUUGACUGUGAAAAACAAUAUGGAGUCAUCAUAAGAAGCAAAUCAGCCCAGCCCUCCUUUCAUGCCAUGAAAACACGGAGCAAAUCAACUUGAGAAUCUUCCUAAGACUGUAAAGAAAAGGACAAAGAGAUUAAAGAGAUGAAAGAGGAUAUGAAAGCUCUGAAGGACAGAGAACAGGCAUCUAACCCAAGGUUCCUAUCACAGAGCUAAGCAUGUGAGAGUUUAGUUGCUAUUAACUUAACUAAUAAUUGCCCAUAUGGAAGAUUUAUGUUUUCUGGAUCUAGGUAUCAAGGCAGUAGAUCGCAGUCUCCCAAAAGAUGUCAAGCCUUACUUCAUACAAAUGCUGAGUGCUCUCUGGGAAAAAACAGCUGUGGCUAGAGACAUGGUAGGAAAGGAAACAAAGUUUCUACUGUGGGGAUACUUACAUGCAACCAGUGGGGAGAUAAGACAGGGACAAAUAAGCAAAAAAGGACAUAAUAUAAUUUUAGGCAGUGAUAACUUCUAUUAGAAAAAAGUACCACACAGUCACAGGUGGAAGGACUCACUGAGUAAGAGGAUGAGGCUAUUUAGGCAGAAGUAAUCUCCGAGCAGAGGCUGGAGGACAUACAGGCGCAUGUCCUUGAAUUCUGGUGGAAGAACGGCCCCGGGAAAAGGGAGCAGCUCGUGCACAGCUCUCGAGGCAAAAGAAGCUUGAAUGUGCAAAGAGUUGAAUGAGUUCCAGCACAAAUUAUAAAAACAAUAGGAGGAGGUGAUAUCAGAGAGACAGUGACUCAUGGGCCAUAGCAAAGAGUUUAGACUUUGUGGCAUAUGAUAGUUUCUUUACAUAUAAAACUUCAUUUGAUGGUCACAACAGACCUGAAGGUCACUGGUACACGUGAAGUGGUCAGUGAAGAGAACUAGGCUAGGAGAGUUUAAGUGUCUUACCCCAAAGAACAAAAUAGUAAGAUCCAGAAUCCAGAUUUUGUCCUCAAUUUAUGUGUGUGAAGAGGCUCAGAGAACAUAUUGCCAUGGGAUUUAGAGUGACCUUGUCUGGGCUAUGGACUUUUGGGGUUUGAUCUUUUCUUCUUUUGAUUUACCUAUAUUUCUUACCUUUCCCAUACUGACCAGAAACUGCUUUUGCAAAGAAGAAUAACUUAAAUGUUAAAAUGUAGUUUAAAUGGUCUAAAAAAGUUAUUCAAAAUAGCCAUAUCAUUUUGGAAAGAGGCACCAGGGAACACAGUCAUUAGGUUAUGUGAGAAGAUUAAAGAGUUGGUGAGGCAAAAGAUGGUUCACAGAUUUUGAUAAAUCUUUGAAAUAUAUGAAAUAAUACCAGAAAUAUUCAUUAGAAAUAACAGGAUGGAGCAUCACAAAACCACACCUGGGAAUAACUUGCUUAAACACUAAAAUGUGGAUCAUUUCAUACAGUUCUGGGAUAUAAUUUUACUCUUUUAUCUUUCCUAAAUGAAAACAACAGGAACUACUAGAGUCAGGUUGCAAUUUUCUAACAGGAAACUAAAAGCAUUUUUUUUAAAGAGUGAAAUUUUAACAUUUCCUCAUAACUCAUGGCCAUAAAAAGAAAAAUCAGAAUCCCUCAUCUAUAUCAUCAUUUAGAAAAAUAAAAUGGCAUGUAUGAAUCCAAAAACAUAAUGCUUGAAAUAAUUACCCAUUUUUCCUGAUUAUUGCUGUAAAAAAAUUUAUAAAGUAUAGAAAAUUUCAAAAUGUAAAC